CCUUUCUCCUGAGUAAUACCUUCUCCUGUAAAUAGAGGAGGGAGGGAGGGAAAAGGAAACCAAGCAACUUCACCGCCUCACUAAACAUGAAUAUCCCCAGAAUAUUUGUUUGGACAAAUAAAAUGGAUUAACUGGAUGAGGACCAAAGCUUAUGGGUCCCCUGUUUGCAGGUCACUCAGCUCACCUGUAGCCAGCUGGCUGUGGCAUCAGGAGGAACAUGGCCCAUAGAGCAGAGAGAAGUCAGGAGGUCUAAGCCAACAUCAAAGAAGAACUUACAGGAUGAGAUAGGACAAGAGUUUUAUAGAUGGCCUCUACCGGAGCAUAGAGGUGUUGUGAGCAGAAGAGAGAGAGAAGUAGUCUGCUCCCUGUGAUGCCUC
rnacentral:lncRNA from 1 species